rnacentral:rRNA from 1 species
CAGUCGCCGCGGUAAUACGUAGGGUGCAAGCGUUAAUCGGAAUUACUGGGCGUAAAGCAUGCGCAGGCGGUUAUAUAAGACAGAUGUGAAAUCCCCGGGCUCAACCUGGGAACUGCAUUUGUGACUGUAUAGCCAGAGUACGGCAGAGGGGGAUGGAAUUCCGCGUGUAGCAGUGAAAUGCGUAGAUAUGCGGAGGAACACCGAUGGCGAAGGCAAUCCCCUGGGCCUGUACUGACGCUCAUGCACGAAAGCGUGGGGAGCAAACAGGAUUAGAUACCCCCGUAGUCCCUGUCUCUUAUAC